GUUUGAAUAAUGACCAUGAUGUUUAAAACACUAAUGCAGAUCUCUCAGGAAAAACAUCUGCAGCGAUUUUUGAACUUUGCGGGCGAAGAAGAGGAAAUUGCUGCUCCUAGUGGUGGUGUCAGUGAUGACGUCUUGCUCUCUGAUUGAUUCAGCAACCUCUGAGAAGCCAACACAGCUGGCACAAGCUCAACAAAUAUGCCACGAAAACUGAGAUCCACAAGCUCUGGUGGCAAACCAUCAGCUGUCAGGAAGCAUGAUGACUCUACAAGUACAUCCCAUGAGGCUAGGUGGUGCACCAUCAUCAAGAAGCUAUAGUAGUGAACCAGGCCCAUCUACACCUCAACAAGCUGGUGCUGCAGGUUCCAGAAGAGGCUGUCGAUCUCAGACAUUUCUGGACCUCCUUGAUGAACGUGAAUAGUAAGAGUGAAGAUGACUGGCUAACCAAGGCAGUGACUUCAGCCAUGAGACUGAUUGGAGUUGAAGAAGCUGUCACUUCUUUGGACUCAGAUUUUGAAGUGGAUCUCCAGUAGAAAUCUGUGUCUUCUACUGUUGGCGAGUCAAGAAGAUUGUUUUACUCAAGAAAUAAAGCUUUUGUUGACCAUGCUCCUCAGGAUAUAGCAAAAAAUUUGGGAUCUUGUAAGCCGUUGAAACCAAUUGAGUA